rnacentral:tRNA from 1 species
GGGCGGGUGGCGGAAUUGGCAGACGCGUACGGCUCAGGACCGUAUGGCCGCAAGGCCUUGAGGGUUCAAAUCCCUCCUCGCCCA